rnacentral:rRNA from 1 species
GACGAACGCUGGCGGCGUGCCUAAUACAUGCAAGUUGAGCGCUGAAGGUUGGUACUUGUACCGACUGGAUGAGCAGCGAACGGGUGAGUAACGCGUGGGGAAUCUGCCUUUGAGCGGGGGACAACAUUUGGAAACGAAUGCUAAUACCGCAUAAAAACUUUAAACACAAGUUUUAAGUUUGAAAGAUGCAAUUGCAUCACUCAAAGAUGAUCCCGCGUUGUAUUAGCUAGUUGGUGAGGUAAAGGCUCACCAAGGCGAUGAUACAUAGCCGACCUGAGAGGAUGAUCGGCCACAUUGGGACUGCGACACGGCCCAAACACCUACGGGAGGCAGCAGUAGGGAAUCUUCGGCAAUGGACGACAGGCUGGCCGAGCAACGCCGCGUGAGUGAUGAAGGUUUUCGGAUCGUAAAACUCUGUUGGUAGAGAAGAACGUUGGUGAGAGUGGAAAGCUCAUCAAGUGACGGUAACUACCCAGAAAGGGACGGCUAACUACGUG